UUUCUUAUAAUUGACAGCCUGUUUUAUUGUCUUGAUAUGACUUUUCCCGUGAGCAUGAUUGCUCCAACUUGCAAACCGUACGAUGUUUCGUUGUCUUCCACGAGAAUUACCUGCGGAUUAUGCCUAGAUAAAACUUGAGAGACGGCAAUAAAAGGAGGAUCUGAACCGAAUACAAGCAGCCUCCACGAACUUAAUCCGCUUGCAUCCGAUACUGACGGCAUUAAGCGCUAUGAAGAUGCAUCUGAACUCGGACGAGCUUUCAAUGGACGCGCAUAUCGGUUUCAUCUCCCAAGAAUAUAUCGACAUGGUUUCCAGAAAGUCUCCGAGCUCAAAAUAUCGUAGCGAAUAACGAUUUCAUUUGAAGGCAUGGUUUUCGUUGACGUGCACAUCGUGCAGGACGGUUAAAAUCAACAGAAAGUAACAAGAUUGAUUCAUAAAGCUGCUGCUGUUGCUCGGGACAUGAUAUACAUGAAUCAAAUUUGAGGUAUCGCUUUUAACAUGUAUUGCAGAAGUCAUCGUUACUAUGCUUACGAAAGGCGGGCUAGCUAUGCGAACCUAUUACUCUCACGAGGCUCAUCAAUAUUUGGGCUUCACACGGCCAAAUUUCGUCCACCAUCGCGGAUCCCACAUAAACGACGAAUUCCGUCAGGCGAGGUGCCACCAAGCAAGCGACCCCAACCUUACCAAGCAAUAUUCGCCCGUAGUCAUCAGUUAUUCCCAUCUCCUUUCAAACCCAUUAUGCGCCGACAUCUACUCCAUCCCAUUGCAGUCAAUUUCCAACACCGUUAAAGAUCCCGCUGUUGAGACUUGAUGAACCCUGAUGCACGGCGUUCUCCUGUCCCUAAAAGUUGUAUCUGUUCCGCAACUUUAUUGAAAAAUCAGGCAGGGUACGAGAACUGGUACCUGUUAAUGGAUGUGAUGUCUGUCAUGGACGACGCUGUGAAAUAUUUAUCAGAUCUCCGUGAAUACCUUAAGAAAGAUUGGGAUAAAUGAACGAUCAACAUGGGUAAGAGUGACCUAUUCAUCGACGCAGGGAUCAUUUAUCAGAACUCCAUCUGCGAGUUUUCCGAAUGGUUAAUGACGCAUUUCACGCCCAUCCAGCCAUCCCGGGGCUAUGGAACAGGGAUGUCUCAACCUUAUAUAAAUGAUCAGUGCAAAAUAUGCUCAUUUCUGUGAAGCCAAUGAACCCCCUGUGUUGUGAGCUUAUUUGUGGUUUAGUUAUCUCAUGCAAGGAUGGGUCAGCUAGAAUGUAGAUAAAAAUACACAAAAAGUAGAAAAGCCGCAACCUUGUCUUUCUCUGACCUCGUCCAGCGCUGAGUAAUCACUCGUCCAUGCCACACCAGCCCUAUGUAAUCAACCGGCCCUAGCCCAUGC
rnacentral:sRNA from 1 species